rnacentral:tRNA from 1 species
GUGGCAUUAGCUCAGAUGGAUAGAGCAACGGCCUUCUAAGCCGUGGGUCGCGGGUUCAAAUCCUGCAUGCCGCACCA